UACAGGGGGGGCAAGCGUUGUUCGGAAUUACUGGGCGUAAAGGGUCUGUAGGUGGCCAACUAAGUCAGACGUGAAAUCCCUCAGCUUAACUGGGGAACUGCGUCUGAUACUGGAUGGCUUGAGUGUGGGAGAGGAAUGCGGAAUUCCAGGUGUAGCGGUGAAAUGCGUAGAUAUCUGGAGGAACACCGGUGGCGAAGGCGGCAUUCUGGACCAUAACUGACACUGAGAGACGAAAGCUAGGGGAGCAAAUGGG
rnacentral:rRNA from 1 species